GUUCAUUUUGUAAUACUUUAUUUUAGUUCUUUUUGUAAUUUCUUUCUCUUAGAUUCUAACUAUUUUCAUAUUUUUAUAUAGUAUUUAAAAAUCUUCAUCUUUUUAUUUAUCAAUAAACGAGAAUACCAUUGGUUCAUACUUAUCCCUCACAGUUUAGCAUUUUGUUCUUGUAUUGGAGCAGUGUAGCUGUCUAUUGAGAGGGAUCCUCGAUCUAUUCAAUUCCAAACCCACCGUAUUAGCACGUAGAUGUAGUUGUGAAUUUGCAAUUGAACGGAUCGGAUCGGGUUGAGGGUAAGAUGAUAACAAGGUCAAAACUGGUUGAGCAGCUGAGGGAUUACCAGAUCAGAUCUCAACACAAGUGUCCUCCUCUUACUUUCUUUUCCCCCAACCUUCAUCUCCACAAUUGGGCUGAUGUUGCAGUUGCUGUGUUCUGCGCCUUGCUAUUUGGUGUGCUUAUAUUAUCAUCAUAUGUGGCCCUUUAUUUACAACAUUACUGGAGUUCCUUUCUCAUUAUAAGCCUUGCCAUUACCCUUCCAGUGCGGUUGAGAAUGUUACGACAGGCUCAUGCAAGGAAGAAAGUAAGACAGUUACCUUUGUCUAUGUGAACUUCUAUCUACUUCUGCAAGCACCAAAGGCGGUUUAAGUGAAAGGAAUACCUCUUGCACAAAAGCGCUCUUCGAUUGUAGACAUAAUUCUUUGAUCUUCGUGACAUAGACUGACCAAUCUUCUGCUGUGAAAGAUGGGAUACGCUCUUUGUAUUACUCUUGAUGACCCAUUCACUAAGAAGCAUGAUUAGAGGAUCAAUUAGUUCCCUGUGACAUGAACAACCGGAAUCCAGAGCUCAAGAUUUCAGCAACGUUAAUUAUUGUAAACUAAGCUUGAUGGGAAAAAAGAUGCUCCGUUCUGGAUAAUUUCCAAGCAGCUGAGCUGAUUGUAGUAAACUUUGAAGCGAAUGUAGAGAUAAACACAUCAUAUCUGAAUGAUCAGAUGAUAGAAGUUGAAUGGUUGAAACGACUUUGGUUCAGGAAUAUUAUACUGAACCGUGUAGGGAAGUUGAGUUCUGUAAGAGAGAUAGCAUUUGUGUUUUCCGUUAAUUAGUAAUUUGUGUUUCAAAUAGAAAUAUUCCAACAUUAGACGUUUUAGAAGGAAUUUGAUUGCUAUACAUAUACUUUCUUUUCA